rnacentral:lncRNA from 1 species
UCUCUCUCUAACUCUCCCUGUGGUCGAUGGCCCAAGCAACCCAGGCCAAGGCAUCCGAAGCCGUCCCCGCGGCGGAGUUUGUCGUCGCCGAGGCUCCGUCUGAGUCGGAACCCAAGGAGCCUGCGGCCGAGGAAAAGAAGCCCGAGGCUGACGAGAAGAAAACCGAGGCCCAGGAGGUGGCAUCGCCCGCUGACGAGGCUCCCGCUGAGUCGGAACCCAAGGAGCCUGCGGCCGAGGAGAUGAAGUCCGAGGCUAAGGAGAAGAAAAACGAGGUCCAGGAGGUGGCAUCGCCCGCUGACGAGACUGCCGCCCCCGACGUCGAUCCCCAGAAGAAGGCUCUCGACGAGCUGAAGGAGCUCGUGCAGGCCGCCCUCGCUAACAACGAGUUCA